AUUUGUUUUUUAAUUUAAAACUAGAAUGAAAGGUUUAACGUUUUAACUUCCUUAUUAUUUAUAUCUAUUUAAUUUAUAUUAAAUAUAAAAAGAUAUUUAUUUAAUAUUUAGACGACAAGACCCUAUUGAACUUAAUUUAAAUUUAGCUGGGGCAGCUAAUUAAUUAAAAUUUUAAGUUACUUUACAAAAAUCCAAUAAAAUUGAAUUAAUCAAGUUACCAUAGGGAUAACAGCAUAAUUUAAAUUUUAAGAUCAUAUUAAAAUUGAAUCUUAUGACCUCGAUGUUGAAUUAAAAUUACUUUAUAUAGUGCAGUAACUAUAAAAGUAGGUCUGUUCGACCUUUAAUAUUUUACA
rnacentral:rRNA from 1 species